rnacentral:rRNA from 1 species
CCUACGGGAGGCAGCAGUGAGGAAUAUUGGUCAAUGGGCGCGAUCCUUAACCAUCCAAUUAUCUUUAAUUAUUACUUCCCUACUUUUUUUACACUUCUUUUCUCCAUUAAUAACGUGCGGCCCGUGUGCCUUUUUGUAUGUACUUUAUGAAUAAGGAUCGGCUAACUCCGUGCCAGCCGCCGCGGUCCUACGGCGGAUCCGAGCGUUCUCCGGAUUUCUUGGGUUGAAAGGGAGCGUAGAGGGGGGGUUAAGUCAGUUGUGAAAGUUUGCGGCUCAACCGUAAAAUUGCAAUUGAUACUGGCAGUCUUGAGUACAGUUGAGGUAGGCGGAAUUCGUGGUGUAGCGGUGAAAUGCUUAGAUAUCACGAAGAACUCCGAUUGCGAAGGCAGCUUACUAAACUGCCACUGACAUUGAUGCUCGAAAGUGUGGGUAUCAAACAGGAUUAGAGACCCUGGUAGUC